rnacentral:rRNA from 1 species
CAGCCGCCGCGGGAAUACGUAGGGCGCAAGCGUUAUCCGGAAUUAUUGGGCGUAAAGAGCUCGUAGGCGGUUUGUCGCGUCUGCCGUGAAAGUCCGGGGCUCAACCCCGGAUCUGCGGUGGGUACGGGCAGACUAGAGUGAUGUAGGGGAGACUGGAAUUCCUGGUGUAGCGGUGAAGUGCGCAGAUAUCAGGAGGAACACCGAUGGCGAAGGCAGGUCUCUGGGCAUUAACUGACGCUAAGGAGCGAAAGCAUGGGGAGCGAACAGGAUUAGAUACCCCGGUAGUCCCUGUCUCUUAUAC